UACGUAGGCAGCAAGCGUUGUUCGGAGUUACUGGGCGUAAAGGGUGUGUAGGCGGUUCUUUAAGUUUGGGGUGAAAUCUCCCGGCUCAACCGGGAGGGUGCGCCGAAUACUGAGUGACUAGAGUGCGGGAGAGGAAAGUGGAAUUCCUGGUGUAGCGGUGAAAUGCGUAGAUAUCAGGAGGAACACCGGUGGUGUAGACGGCUUUCUGGACCGUAACUGACGCUGAGACACGAAAGCGUGGGUAGCAAACAGG
rnacentral:rRNA from 1 species